AUUCAUUUUCAUAGAAACCACCUAAAUAAUCUCUCACACAAACUAUUUAAAGCGACAUCCCAACAAACACACAACGUUGCCUCAACGUAGCGACCUUCCUACAACGUUGUACCAACAUUGCAAAAAGGUUGAGGAUUCUACGUUGUUUCUAAAGGUUGUCACAACGAUGUCAUAAGGUUGCCAUUUAAACAUCAUGAGGGUCGCAUGCUUUAGGUUGUGCUUAGGUGGCGUGGACGACCACUGUACAACAUUUACUGGUCACAGCUGAAUCAGUUUAAAUUUCAACAAGCCGUCGUCUCAUUCAUCAACGACCGAGGAGACGCUAUUUUUACAUGGAGAAUGUUUUCAGCUGUUGAAUUCACCUCAGAUCAGUGUUGCUGUAAUUCCUGAUGGAAAGAAGAAUUGAAUGAGCGAGCAACGCCACAACUACAGGACCUCUUCUUUCUCUUCU